rnacentral:rRNA from 1 species
GCGCACCAGUCGAGAAUACUCCACAAUGCGCGAAAGCGCGAUGGGGCUAUCCCGAGUGCCGUCCGCUGAGGAUGGCUUUUCUCCAGUGUAAGGAGCUGGAGGAAUAAGGAGAGGGCAAGUCUGGUGUCAGCCGCCGCGGUAAUACCAGCUCUCCGAGUGGUAGGGACGUUUAUUGGGCUUAAAGCGUCCGUAGCCGGCUCAACAAGUCCUCCGUUAAAUCCAGCGAUUCAAUCGUUGGACUGCGGGGGAUACUGUUGGGCUAGGGGACGGGAGAGGCCAACGGUAUUCCCGGAGUAGGGGUGAAAUCCUAUAAUUCCGGGAGGACCACCAGUGGCGAAGGCUGUCGGCUAGAACGAGCUCGACGGUGAGGGACGAAAGCUGGGGGAGCGAACCGGAUUAGAUACCCCCGUAGU